rnacentral:rRNA from 1 species
UACGGGGGGAGCAAGCGUUGUCCGGAAUUAUUGGGCGUAAAGCGCGCGCAGGCGGUCAUUUAAGUCUGGUGUUUAAUCCUGGGGCUCAACCCCGGGUCGCACUGGAAACUGGGUGGCUUGAGUACAGAAGAGGAGAGUGGAAUUCCACGUGUAGCGGUGAAAUGCGUAGAUAUGUGGAGGAACACCAGUGGCGAAGGCGACUCUCUGGGCUGUAACUGACGCUGAGGCGCGAAAGCGUGGGGAGCAAACAGG